GGACGAGCCUCUGGAGAGACUACCGAUUGCAUUAACUUGCAAUAAUAGGUGGCGCCGAAGGCGAAAGUGUCGCUGUGUUGUUAAGCGACGCGAAACGCUCAGGCAAAAGGACAGAGGAGAGGAU
rnacentral:ncRNA from 2 species